rnacentral:rRNA from 1 species
AGAUGAUUGCCCUAGUAACGGCGAGUGAAGCGGCAACAGCUCAAAUUUGAAAGCUGGCCUUCGGGUCCGCAUUGUAAUUUGUAGAGGAUGCUUUGGGUGAAACGCCAGUCUAAGUUCCUUGGAACAGGACGUCAUAGAGGGUGAGAAUCCCGUAUGUGACUGGAAAUGUUAACCUAUGUAAAGCUCCUUCGACGAGUCGAGUUGUUUGGGAAUGCAGCUCUAAAUGGGAGGUAAAUUUCUUCUAAAGCUAAAUAUUGGCGAGAGACCGAUAGCGCACAAGUAGAGUGAUCGAAAGAUGAAAAGCACUUUGGAAAGAGAGUUAAAAAGCACGUGAAAUUGUUGAAAGGGAAGCGCUUGCAAUCAGACUUGUUUAAACUGUUCGGCCGGUCUUCUGACCGGUUUACUCAGUUUGGACAGGCCAGCAUCAGUUUCGGCGGCCGGAUAAAGGCUCUGGGAAUGUGGCCUUCACUUCGGUGAAGGUGUUAUAGCCCAGGGUGUAAUACGGCCAGCCGGGACUGAGGUCCGCGCUUCGGCUAGGAUGCUGGACGUAA